CGGUGGUUGUGGGUGGUGGAAGAUGGGGCGGGGGGGACAUGGAGAAGGUGCAAAAAGGCCCCGCUGGCUGCUUCCACCAUGGGCUGCGAUAGGUUUUUCCCCUUGUGCAUCUUGCGCAAUGCGUUUUAUGAGUAAAUUACGCGGAGCCUCCGAGGGAGGAAUCCGCAGCUUUACUGGCAAUGUAAAUAAAGAGGCGGGAGGGGGAAAGGGAGGCGGAGGAUGCGCCCCUGCGCAAGUGCUUAGGUUUACUCUCCUUUUGUUUUGCAUUGUUGAUUUUUCCUGCCUUUAAUUGCUUUAAUUUCUUUUAUGCGCGCUUUGAUGCUAAACACUAUUUGGGGCUGAUGAAAGAGUUCCAGUCCGCAGGAAAGUAAUUGAAGGGCGGAGGGAGAACCGAGACAAAAUAAAAUCCUAAAGGCACGGCGAAAUAGAUAGAGUUUCUGCAAAUUAGUUACGAGAAGAAGAAAAUUAAAACCAGGAGCGGAAAGACCAUUUGGGGUGAUUCUGGCUUCUUUACGUUCGCCUUUUAUGCCUUGUCUUCUUCAGUCACAGCGCCAGCGCAGUCACAGGGGCAGAAUGGAGACCAAUCCACCUUUAGAGCCCCGAAUGUCAAUUUUACAUUACUGUAUUCGCCAAAUCUAUUGGAAAGAGACUUGAACAACGAAGAAAUCCAGAUAAAAAUAUACACAGAGGAAAGAGCAUAGCAGGGAGAAAAGAACCGCGGAGGUUGCAGGGAGAAGGAGUAACCAUCAUUCCUAUUAUGUACAGGACUCUAUAUGCUAAGCAGAAUUUGCAUUCAGACUUUUCAGAUCACGUUUUCUAAAUUAAAGGUGCUAAACACGA